GGGGUUGUGGCUCAGUGGUAGAGCACUCGCCUCACAUGUGUGAGGCACUGGGUUCAAUUCUCAGCACCA
rnacentral:tRNA from 1 species